AUUACUGAUGACAAAUGUGACAUCAUGCGCACCUCUAUCUCGAAAUCUACACAAGAAUUAGAUUUUCUGGGGCGGAGUUCCAGAUUACGUUGACCCUGAUGUGAUGAGAGCCCUGAGGGGCUUAUUCCAGGUGCUUGUGAUGUACAAAGCUGACUGCAGAAGUGUAAACUUUCUACACUCGCAUUAGACCUGGAGGGAGAGGCCCACGUGCAGACAAAACGCGUUUGAAAGACAAGAUCAUGAGGGAAGUGAAAGCAGAUAUCAGAGCUGCCAAAGCACUGGUGAUUGCCUUUUCACACCCCAGUACUAAUAUCCUGUAGCUACAUUCUGACAUGGACCUCCCAAUCGCAAUCUACUGGACCGGUUGUGUGCUGGCAGGGGGCCUGGAAGAUGUAACAACAAGCAAUCAUAAGAAAACAUGGCCCUCACAACUUGGCUUGGUGCAAUUAGUCUGCGGCUUAUGGAAAUAAAAAGUAAUGUUAUUACUCCCUAUUCAUUUGGAUGGAGGAAGAGAGGUAUCCACUAAGCUUUCCAAAUAAGGUUUUGGAAAUACCUCCAAAUGCAAUAAAGCAAUACACAAGCACUUCUGAGCAUUAAACUGAUUUUUCUACAAAAUUCCCUUUUGAAAAUGACUUAGUAACUUAGAAAAUUUAAUUCAUUAACAUGAGCCGUUUAAUUAGCAGAUACUAUUUCCCCUGCAAUUCCCUUUAAAUGUCCAAAUUAAGUGCAGCCUAAAGGAUUGCAAACAGCACGUUUUUAAGCUUAUAGCAGAUGCAUUAGCAGAGAAAAGCUUUUAACCUGGAAUUAAAUCGAAUA